GUGGUCGUAGCUCAAUGGUGGAGCACUAGGUUGUGGUCCUAGGGGUUGUGGGUUCGAGCCCCAUCGACCACCCCA
rnacentral:tRNA from 1 species